rnacentral:rRNA from 1 species
UACGUAGGGGGCAAGCGUUGUCCGGAUUUAUUGGGCGUAAAGAGCGUGUAGGCGGUUGGGUAGGUCCGUUGUGAAAACUCGAGGCUCAACCUCGAGACGCCGAUGGAAACCCCCCGCUAGAGUCCGGAAGAGGAGAGUGGAAUUCCUGGUGUAGCGGUGAAAUGCGCAGAUAUCAGGAGGAACACCAGCGGCGAAGGCGGCGCUCUGGGCCGGAACUGACGCUGAGGAGCGAAAGCGUGGGUAGCAAACAGG